AUGAUGUUCAAGAAGAUGAAUGAGGAUGAGAUAUCUCUUGGGUUGCAUGAUUUCUUUGAAGACCAUGGCAAAAGCAGUGGGGUAAAAGUUGUAGCAAGGAAGCACAAGCUAACUCAAAAGAAAGUUCCAAUUGUUGUUGAUAAUAAAAGUUCAUCUAGUGGAGUGGAUAAUGAUAUGGAAAUCAAUUAUGCUAGUGAAGGGCUUGGUAUAAGUGACCCUGAUGCUUCUGAUGAAGAGAAGGAUCCAAAAUAUCCAAGGUUUAAGAAGUAA